rnacentral:rRNA from 1 species
GCUUUGGACCCACCUGAUUCCAUGCCGAACUCAGUAGUGAAACGAAGCAGCGCCGAUGGUAGUGUGGGGUCUCCCCAUGUGAGAGUAGGACAUCGCCAGGC